GAUAGAUCUUUCUAUGGAACACCAGAUUUCGAAUGUCGAUAUUGCAAGGCAGUCUUCUGGUAUCGUGAAAGAGCUCGUGGUAAACAUAUUGAUGGAUCUAUACUAUACAACAAUUGUUGCAAGGGUGGUAAAAUAGCAAUACCACCAUACAAACCACAUCCUGAACCAUUGGCUACACUGGCUAGAUUUGAUGGGGAUUCAAUAUCUAAGAAGUUCAUGCGCAACAUAAGACAAUACAAUUGUCUAUUUGCUUUCACUUCAAUGGGAGCUAACAUUGAUAACAAUGUCAAUGAUGGUCGUGGGCCACCUCUGUUUAAAAUAUGUGGACAAGUUCUGAAAGGGAAAUAGGCUUUAAACCUUUUCCUAAAUGAUUUUGG
rnacentral:misc_RNA from 1 species